rnacentral:rRNA from 1 species
GACGAACGCUGGCGGCGUGCUUAACACAUGCAAGUCGAACGGAAAGGCCCUGCUUGCAGGGUACUCGAGUGGCGAACGGGUGAGUAACACGUGGGUGAUCUGCCCUUCACUUCGGGAUAAGCCUUGGAAACUGGGUCUAAUACCGGAUAUGAGCUAUUUUUACUGUGUUGGUUGGUAAGAUUUUUCUGUGUAGGAUGAGCUCGCGGCCUAUCAUCUUGUUGGUGGUGUAAUGGCCUACCAACGCGGCGACGGGUAGCCGGCCCGGGAGGGUGGACGGCCAAAUUGGGAACGGGAAAAGGGCCCGGAUCCCAAGGGAGGGAAGAGUGGGGAAUAUUGGCACAUGGGGGGAAGGCUGAUGCCGGGAAGCCGGGGGGGGGAUGACGGCCUUCGGGUUGGAAAAUCUCUUCGAGAGGGAAGAAGCUUUUUGUGACGGUACCUAGAUAAGAAGCACCGGCUAACUACGUG